rnacentral:rRNA from 1 species
UACAGAGGGUGCAAGCGUUGUUCGGAAUCAUUGGGCGUAAAGGGCGUGUAGGCGGUCUGUUAAGUCAUGUGUGAAAUCCCUCGGCUCAACCGGGGAACGACGCAUGAAACUGACAGCUAGAGUACCAAAGAGGGGGUGGAAUUCCCGGUGUAGCGGUGGAAAUGCGUAGAUAUCGGGAGGAACACCGGUGGCGAAGGCGGCCCCCUGGUUGGAUACUGACGCUGAGACGCGAAAGCGUGGGGAGCAAACAGGGAU